GAUGAAUCUUCAAGUCAUGAAUGUAACCAGCGCACAAUCCUUCUCUAUGGAGUCGGCAAAGAGCGUGAUGAAGCAAGGCAUCAGCUGAAGAAGAUUACCAAAGAUAUCCUGAAAAUUCUAAAUAAGAAGAGCACCACAGAGACAGGGGUUGGGGACGAAGGACAAAAAGCCAGGAAAAACAAACAGGAGACAUUUCCAACACUGGAGACUGUGUUCACUAAACUCCAGCUCCUUUCAUAUUUUGAUCAACAUCAAGUGACAUCUCAGAUUUCUAACAAUGUGCUAGAACAAAUCACAAGCUUUGCGUCAGGAACAUCCUAUCAUCUCCCUUUGGCUCACCACAUUCAGCUCAUCUUUGAUCUCAUGGAGCCAGCACUGAACAUCAAUGGACUAAUUGACUUCGCAAUACAGUUACUAAAUGAACUGAGUGUUGUGGAAGCUGAACUGCUCCUAAAAUCCUCCAGCCUGGCAGGAAGUUAUACAACAGGACUGUGUGUCUGCA
rnacentral:sRNA from 1 species